UACGGGGGGAGCAAGCGUUGUUCGGAUUUACUGGGCGUAAAGGGCGCGUAGGCGGUCGUGCCAAGUCACUUGUGAAAUCUCCGGGCUUAACUCGGAACGGUCAAGUGAUACUGUCGGACUAGAGUACAGAAGGGGCAACUGGAAUUCUCGGUGUAGCGGUGAAAUGCGCAGAUAUCAGGAAGAACACCCGUGGCUAAGGCGGUUCUCUAGUACGGUACUGACGCUGAGACGCGAAAGCGUGGGGAGCGAACAGG
rnacentral:rRNA from 1 species